ACGCUAGCGAUAGGCUUAACACAUGCAAGUCGAGGGGCAGCAUGGUCUUAGCUUGCUAAGACUGAUGGCGACCGGCGCACGGGUGCGUAACGCGUAUGCAACUUGCCUCACAGAGGGGGAUAACCCGUCGAAAGACGGACUAAUACCGCGUACACUCCACUUUGGGCAUCCAAAGUAGAGGGAAUGAAAUUCGCUGUGAGAUAGGCAUGCGUCCCAUUAGCUAGUUGGUGAGGUAACGGCUCACCAAGGCGACGAUGGGUAGGGGAACUGAGAGGUUGAACCCCCACACUGGUACUGAGACACGGACCAGACUCCUACGGGAGGCAGCAGUGAGGAAUAUUGGUCAAUGGGCGAGAGCCUGAACCAGCCAAGUCGCGUGAAGGAUGACUGUCUUAUGGAUUGUAAACUUCUUUUAUACGGGAAUAACAAGAGCCACGUGUGGCUCCCUGCAUGUACCGUAUGAAUAAGCAUCGGCUAACUCCGUGCCAGCAGCCGCGGUAAUACGGAGGAUGCGAGCGUUAUCCGGAUUUAUUGGGUUUAAAGGGUGCGUAGGCGGCCUGUUAAGUCAGCGGUGAAAUCUAGGAGCUUAACUCCUAAAUUGCCAUUGAUACUGGCGGGCUUGAGUGUAGAUGAGGUAGGCGGAAUGCGUGGUGUAGCGGUGGAAUGCAUAGAUAUCACGCAGAACUCCGAUUGCGAAGGCAGCUUACUAAGGUACAACUGACGCUGAAGCACGAAAGCGUGGGUAUCAAACAGGAUUAGAUACCCUGGUAGUCCACGCAGUAAACGAUGAUAACUGGGCGUAUGCGAUAUACAGUAUGCUCCUAAGCGAAAGCGUUAAGUUAUCCACCUGGGGAGUACGCCGGCAACGGUGAAACUCAAAGGAAUUGACGGGGGCCCGCACAAGCGGAGGAACAUGUGGU
rnacentral:rRNA from 1 species